rnacentral:lncRNA from 1 species
CUACAGAGGUGAGCUCAGGGUACCCACCACAGGGAUGGCACGAUGGAGGGCAAGAUGCAGGGGUCAGGGGAAUGCUUGUGCAGGCGUAAUGAUCUGAAGUUGGGGAGGGAAAGAGCAUUCCAGCAGAAGGACCAUUAUGAGGAAAGGCAUCAUAUUGCUUGGGAGUUAUGUUGGAGAAUUCCAUUAUCCACUCUUUAUCCACCAAGGCACUGCACUUCCUGGAAUGAACCUCGGUCUGCCUUUUUUGAUUAUAGGUGAAGCCAAGCAUAGCAUCUUUCAUCUUUGGGAAAAGGCUGAAUUCCUCUGAGGCUCUGUACUGGGAGCUCUUUACUGAGCAGGGUGUGAAGUCAUAAAGGAAGACAAAGAUAAAGGCGCUGCCCUCAAGAAGAUUUGAAUCUAAAGCACUGGGUUGAUACCACUCGGAGCCAUGUAAGAAGCCCAGACCAAGACUCAUCCAGUCUGUGGUCAGAUAAAACAUGAAUUUAGAACUCUGAAGUCUGGUUUGAGAGUCUUAAUGGUCCAAAUACAGAAGUGGGGG